rnacentral:misc_RNA from 1 species
AAACUGCGAUAAGUAGCGUGAAUUGCAGACGCUUUGAACGUUAAACUUUCGAACGCACAUUGCGCCAUAGGAGUCCUACCCUAUGGCACAUCUGGUUGAGGGUCGUGAUUAAAAACAGCAGGAAAAAUGCUGUAUCUUAUGACAAAUUGGU